rnacentral:rRNA from 1 species
AAGGAACCUGCCUCAAGGAUUGGGAUAACUCCGAGAAAUCGGAGCUAAUACCGGAUAGUUCAUCGGACCGCAUGGUCCGCUGAUGAAAGGCGCUCCGGCGUCACCUUGAGAUGGCCUUGCGGUGCAUUAGCUAGUUGGUGGGGUAACGGCCCACCAAGGCGACGAUGCAUAGCCGACCUGAGAGGGUGAUCGGCCACACUGGGACUGAGACACGGCCCAGACUCCUACGGGAGGCAGCAGUAGGGAAUCUUCCACAAUGGACGAAAGUCUGAUGGAGCAACGCCGCGUGAGUGAUGAAGGUUUUCGGAUCGUAAAACUCUGUUGUAAGGGAAGAACACGUACGAGAGGAAAUGCUCGUACCUUGACGGUACCUUACGAGAAAGCCACGGCUAACUACGUGCCAGCAGCCGCGGUAAUACGUAGGUGGCAAGCGUUGUCCGGAAUUAUUGGGCGUAAAGCGCGCGCAGGCGGCCCUUUAAGUCUGAUGUGAAAGCCCCCGGCUCAACCGGGGAGGGCCAUUGGAAACUGGAAGGCUUGAGUACAGAAGAGAAGAGUGGAAUUCCACGU